rnacentral:rRNA from 1 species
GUGGUCUGGAGCUUCACUCCAACCCCUGUGACAUACCAAUUGUUGCCUCGGCGGAUCAGCCCGCUCCCGGUAAAACGGGACGGCCCGCCAGAGGACCCCUAAACUCUGUUUCUAUAUGUAACUUCUGAGUAAAACCAUAAAUAAAUCAAAACUUUCAACAACGGAUCUCUUGGUUCUGGCAUCGAUGAAGAACGCAGCAAAAUGCGAUAAGUAAUGUGAAUUGCAGAAUUCAGUGAAUCAUCGAAUCUUUGAACGCACAUUGCGCCCGCCAGUAUUCUGGCGGGCAUGCCUGUUCGAGCGUCAUUUCAACCCUCAAGCCCAGCUUGGUGUUGGGACUCGCGAGUCAAAUCGCGUUCCCCAAAUUGAUUGGCGGUCACGUCGAGCUUCCAUAGCGUAGUAGUAAAACCCUCGUUACUGGUAAUCGUCGCGGCCACGCCGUUAAACCCCAACUUCUGAAUGUUGACCUCGGAUCAGGUAGGAAUACCCGCUGAACUUAAGCAUAUCUAACCGGGGAGAGAAAAA